CUGUGCUCAUUCAUUUAACACUGAGGAUUGUCAGCAAUGCGCUCCUAAAACGUAGCCCUUUUCAUUAGAAACGUGUCAGUACAGUAUUCCAUUUUAUCUGCCUUUUAUAAUAAUGUUAACCCUUUUGCUAAAAGCAGUGGGUGCUGCUCAGCACAUGAGAGAUGUUGGCAUUGAUGGAUGUGUCUGUUUUCAGUGGUGCAACAGUGACCUAAAAAUUGCCAUAUGUCGGUUUCCAAUUAAUGAAGUGUGCAGCCACAAUACACACUUGAUGCAGUAUCAGAAGCAUAAUGUUUUGUUUAUUUGUUAAUUGAACUGACUGAAGAUGCAAUAAAGCAGAUUGGCUUGGUUUGAAAAAAAAUAUCAGGAAAUUAAAGUAAGCAUCUUACUGAGGCAGGCAACCUAGCAGCACUAGAUCUCCAUUUAUAUUCACCAGCCUCCCUGGCGGAUCCCAAUACUUGGCCAGAGAUCAUGCCUGCUUUUUCAACAAGAGUCUUAUAGCACUGUAAAGACCAGCACAUUUCAUUAUGGCAUGUGUUUCAACAGACUAGAGUCCACGAGUUUAAUAUCUAAAGAAGAAUUCUACGCUCUCACAAUAUUAAUUCUAAAAUCUGAAAGUGGACUCUGACCUUUCAGCCACAAGAUUGCUGUUGAAAAAUUUAUUUCUAGCGGAAAACAAAGUUGAUCUCUGGAUUAGAGAGGUUUCAGAGACAUUUACUUUAUCUCUGACCCAAUGAAUGAAACUCUGGCUCAGAUUUUAAUCUAAGAUAUAGAGUAAUCUCAUUCCUUUCCCUCUCUUACCUAGUGGAAAUUUUAGCUUUGUGGGGAGUGGGGUACCCACUGGAACUACAACAUGUAUAUAAAGUGUGUCUGCUUGCUGACCAUCCAUUCCCCAGUCCACUACAGCUUUAUGGCCCUUCAUCUUUGGUCUUCUUCAUCUGGGAAACGGACCUGUCCACAUAGCUGUUCAGGUUUGGUUGCAUAAUGACAUCAGUGAGAACAAGCAAAGCAAACUGCUUCCUGAACUAUAUUGCCAUCCCUCUGAGACAAUCAAGGAUUCUUCAGUAAACACGAUGACAUCACAAUGCCAUGCAGCCCAUUCAGUUAGGGUCAUUUCAAAGUGAGGGCAAUCCUUAACACUUCCAGAUGACCGCUUAUCAUGUUGCUUGUCUGAAAUUGCUGCCGUGAAGUUCCUCCAGAUAUUGAACUUUACUGUAUUUCCCAGUAUUUUAAAACAAUUCCUUCUUGCGCAGUCCCUUUUCCUGCUUGCCAUUUCUUUCAUGCAACAGUUUGUGAUGUUCCCAGAGGCUUGGAAAAAGGAGGCUGGCCAAAAUACACCUUUUGCCUCACUUAGCUGUUAGGUUGCUCGCUCUUCUUUUUGUUCCUUCGUUUUAUCUUGUAAUUUCUGGGAGAUUCCCACUCCAUGUCCGCAUUUGUGUCCUGUCCACCUGAAAACAGAAUAGUUUUAGCCAACCAGGAAGGAAUUACGCUCGUAUUUGUAUCGUUGCUUGACUCUGCCUUUGUAGCUUUUAGAUUGCUGAUGAAAUCAUGCAAAUCACAAUUAAUUGCCCCUCCGCAAAAGCACAGAAAUUUGCUAAAGGACCAUCAGUCAAAAAAUCUUAAAGCACAUUAAACCAUAUGCAGAAGACAGUUUGAAGUUCUGCUAGGGCUGGAACAUGGUAGUGAAUAUUUCAGCUCUCUUUCUGCAAUUGAUUUUGUUUCAGCUCUCAACCAAGAGGUGCAUUUAUUCCACAGUGCAAUGUCCAUAGGGUACCAUUAGUUCAGGUUAAGAGGGAACAAGGAAGACUUAUUUGAGAAGAUAAAAUUGGAUGUGACCUUGCAAUUCCAAACAGGAAAGCUCUAAAAUAUUCAGGUAAUUGGAAGUUUGGAUAAACAAAAGAGAGGAUUCCAUACAGUGACAGAGAUGAAGCAUAUAGGGUGA